rnacentral:rRNA from 1 species
UACGUAUGGUGCAAGCGUUAUCCGGAUUUACUGGGUGUAAAGGGAGCGUAGGUGGCUACGCAAGUCAGAAGUGAAAGCCCGGGGCUUAACCUCGGGACUGCUUUUGAAACUGUGUAGCUAGAGUGCAGGAGAGGUAAGUGGAAUUCCUAGUGUAGCGGUGAAAUGCGUAGAUAUUAGGAGGAACACCGGUGGCGAAGGCGGCUUACUGGACUGUAACUGACACUGAGGCUCGAAAGCGUGGGGAGCAAACAGG